AUAAAAACCAAUAUACAAAUGUAUAAAAACUAUCCAUCAUCAAUUUAAAAACAAAAUCACAAUCAACUGCAUAAUUCACCCUACAUCAGUACAGUGCAGCCCCUGUAAGAGCUCCCCACCGUUGCCAGACCCCCAGGCCCAGCGGUAGUAACCAUUUGAACUUACAACCGUGGGAAAAAAACAGCUCUGCGACCAAUUCUCGCAUUUAGGACCAUUGCCGCAUCCUGUGGUCACACAAUUGCUACUCGUGCGCUUCACAACUGGCUUGGGACAAGCAGUCCAUGGAGAACAUGGCAGGAAAAUAUCUUCUUAGAUGAUGACGGCACUGUCCAGCAUCGGGG